rnacentral:rRNA from 1 species
GUCGAGCGAGAAGUUUGAAAAAUGAGUUUUCGAACAAGUGAUUCAAACGGAAAGCGGCGGACGGGUGAGUAACGCGUAGGCAACCUGCCCCGUGCAGAGGGACAGCCUCGGGAAACCGGGAUUAAGACCUCAUGAUAUCGGGUUAUCACAUGGUAAUCCGGUCAAAGAUUUAUCGGCAUGGGAUGGGCCUGCGUCUGAUUAGCUGGUUGGUGGGGUAACGGCCUACCAAGGCGACGAUCAGUAGCAGAACUGAGAGGUUCAUCUGCCACAUUGGAACUGAGACACGGUCCAAACUCCUACGGGAGGCAGCAGUGAGGAAUAUUGCACAAUGGGCAAAAGCCUGAUGCAGCAACGCCGCGUGAGCGAAGAAGGCCUUUGGGUCGUAAAGCUCUGUCCUUGGGGAAGAAACAAAUGACGGUACCCUUGGAGGAAGCCCCGGCUAACUACGUGCCAGCAGCCGCGGUAAUACGUAGGGGGCGAGCGUUAUCCGGAAUUAUUGGGCGUAAAGAGUGCGUAGGUGGUCUUGUAAGCGUGGGGUGAAAGGCAGUGGCUUAACCAUUGUUAGCCUUGCGAACUGUGAGACUUGAGUGCAGGAGAGGAAAGCGGAAUUCCUAGUGUAGCGGUGAAAUGCGUAGAUAUUAGGAGGAACACCAGUGGCGAA